GAGAGAAGAGGAGAGAGACAGCAGAUAGUUUGACCUUGUUGUCUUCGUUGGAGGCAUGAGGAAAACCACCUGCAGUUCAGUCCAGAUGGUUCAUGGAGACGUGGUGUGCCAUGUCUUGAGCCUGAUGACCUCAACUUCAUAGAAAAAAUG